rnacentral:rRNA from 1 species
UUGAACGCUGGCGGCAGGCCUAACCCAUGCAAGUCGAGCGGAUGAAGGGAGCUUGCUCCUGGAUUCAGCGGCGGACGGGUGAGUAAUGCCUAGGAAUCUGCCUGGUAGUGGGGGAUAACGUCCGGAAACGGGCGCUAAUACCGCAUACGUCCUGAGGGAGAAAGUGGGGGAUCUUCGGACCUCACGCUAUCAGAUGAGCCUAGGUCGGAUUAGCUAGUUGGUGGGGUAAAGGCCUACCAAGGCGACGAUCCGUAACUGGUCUGAGAGGAUGAUCAGCCACACUGGAACUGAGACACGGUCCAGACUCCUACGGGAGGCAGCAGUGGGGAAUAUUGGACAAUGGGCGAAAGCCUGAUCCAGCCAUGCCGCGUGUGUGAAGAAGGUCUUCGGAUUGUAAAGCACUUUAAGUUGGGAGGAAGGGCAGUAAGUUAAUACCUUGCUGUUUUGACGUUACCAACAGAAUAAGCACCGGCUAACUUCGUG